rnacentral:rRNA from 1 species
AUCGAACGCUGGCGGCAGGCCUAACACAUGCAAGUCGAGCGAGCGGCGGACGGGUGAGUAAUGUCUGGGAAACUGCCUGAUGGAGGGGGAUAACUACUGGAAACGGUAGCUAAUACCGCAUACCAUCAGAUGUGCCCAGAUGGGAUUAGCUAGGAGGUGGGGUAACGGCUUACCGAGGCGACGAUCGCUAGCUGGUCUGAGAGGAUGACCAGCGACACGGGAACUUAGAAACGGUCCAGGCUCCUACGUGAGGCAGCAGUGGGGAAUAUGGCACAAUGGGCGCAAGCCGGAUGCAGCCAUGCCGCGUGUGUGAAGAAGGCCGUCGGGUUGUAAAUCACUUUCAGCGGGGAGGCGUUACCCGCAGAAGAAGCACCGGCUAACUCCGUGCCAGCAGCCGCGGUAAUAC